rnacentral:rRNA from 1 species
UACGUAGGUGGCAAGCGUUGUCCGGAAUUAUUGGGCGUAAAGCGCGCGCAGGCGGUCUCUUAAGUCUGAUGUGAAAUCCCGUGGCUUAACCACGGGCGGUCAUUGGAAACUGGGGGACUUGAGUGCAGAAGAGAAGAGCGGAAUUCCACGUGUAGCGGUGAAAUGCGUAGAGAUGUGGAGGAACACCAGUGGCGAAGGCGGCUCGCUGGGCCGGCCCUGACGCUGAGGCGCGAAGGCGUGGGGAGCGAACGGG